rnacentral:rRNA from 1 species
ACGCACGCUGGCGGCGUGCUUAACCCAUGCCAGUCGCACGGAAAGGCCCUGCUUUUGUGGGGUGCUCGAGUGGCGAACGGGUGAGUAACACGUGAGUAACCUGCCCUUGACUUUGGGAUAACUUCAGGAAACUGGGGCUAAUACCGGAUAGGAGCUCCUGCUGCAUGGUGGGGGGUGGAAAGUUUCGGCGGUUGGGGAUGGACUCGCGGCUUAUCAGCUUGUUGGUGGGGUAGUGGCUUACCAAGGCUUUGACGGGUAGCCGGCCUGAGAGGGUGACCGGCCACAUUGGGACUGAGAUACGGCCCAGACUCCUACGGGAGGCAGCAGUGGGGAAUAUUGCACAAUGGGCGGAAGCCUGAUGCAGCAACGCCGCGUGCGGGAUGACGGCCUUCGGGUUGUAAACCGCUUUCGCCUGUGACGAAGCGUGAGUGACGGUAAUGGGUAAAGAAGCACCGGCUAACUACGUG